rnacentral:lncRNA from 1 species
GGGAGGGGGGGCGGAAAGAGGGGGGGAGGAGGGACCGCGGCGGGGGCGGGGGCGGGCAACCUCGCCUCCAGACCCCGCCGCGGCCCCGGAGUCACAGGCGCGCCUCCGCCUCCAGGGACUCUCCCGGGAGAGACCCGGGCGCUCCGGGCCUCGAGGAAGUGGCGGUUUCUGCUCUCACCUUCUGCUCUGCCUGCUUUGCCUGAGUUUGGGGACUCCACAAAUGGAAGAUUUGGAGACAAAAGUAUUUAGAAAAGAAGUCUACUUGAAAAAGAUCUGUUAAGAAUCUCCACGGGCUAAAAGGAUUAGAUCAUCAAAAAAAUAUACAUGUAUCUAAAGGUACAAUGUGUUUUUUCCUUUCUGACUAUGAGAUGAGGUGUGUAUGAUUACCCAAAGUGAGAUGCCAUUUCACUUCUACAGUUCCAUCUGGUGGUCAGGCUUCAAGAAGGCAGGUUUCUGGUCCUGAGGCACAUAUUUAACCAUGAUUCCUGCAGACUAACCUGAGAAGCCUUCCCGCCAAAGAGGAUCUACGCCUGCUUUUGCCAAACAGAUGGGGAAGCUCCCUCUUGUCCAUACAGUUCACCUUGGAAUUAUUCAGAGUUUUUUUUGGGUGGGAAAACAUGGACUUACACCCAACGCUGCUCAUAAAUGGAAGAGCCUUGGUCCCUACCCCACAGGUGGUCCUGAGGAUGGAACAGCUCCCUGGACACAAGAAGCGGGAGGAUGCUGAUUCCCUUUAGGAUGGACUGCUUGGAUCUCCUUGCAGUCCAGGGGACUCUCAAGAGUCUUCUCCAACACCACAGUUCAAAAGCUUCAAUUCUUCGGGCGAUUGGAAAAUGCCACCCACCUCAAGAUAUGUUGACAUUUUAGUCCCUUGAACCUGUGAGUGAGACCAUGUUUGGUAAAAGGAUUUUGAAGGUGUAAGUUCAGCAUCUUGAGAGGAGACCGUCAUCCUGGAUCAUCCAGUUCAGUUCAGUUCAGUUGCUCAGUUGUGUCCGACUCUUUGCGACCCCAUGGACUGCAGCACACCAGGCCUCCCUGUCCAUCACCAACUCCCAGAGUUUACCCAAACUCAUGUCCAUCGAGUUGGUGAUGCCAUCCAACCAUCUCAUCUUCUGUCGUCCCCUUCUCCUCCUGCCUUCAAUCUUUCCCAGCACCAGGGUCUUUUCAAAUGAGUCGGCUCUUCGCAUCAGGUGGCUAAAGUAUUGGAGUUUCAGCUUCAACAUCAGUCCUACCAAUGAACACUCAGGACUGAUCUCCUUUAGGAUGGACUGGUUGGAUCUCCUUGCAGUCCAAGGGACUCUCAAGAGUCUUCUCCAACACCACAGUUCAAAAGCAUCAAUUCUUCGGUGCUCAGCUUUCUUUACAGUCCAACUUUCACAUCCAUACAUGACUAGUAGAAAAACCAUAGCCUUGACUAGACGGACCUUUGUUGGCAAAGUAAUCUCUGCUUUUUAAUAUGCUGUCUAGGUCAUAACUUUCCUUCCAAGGAGUAAGUGUCUUUUAAUUUCAUGGCUGCAGUCACCAUCUGCAGUGAUUAUCCAGGUGGGCCCUAAAUGCCAUCACGAGGGUCCUUAAGGGACAGAGGCAGAGGGGGCAGGCAGAUGCACAGAGGGAGCAACGACGGGAAGAUGGGGGCAGAGACGGAGGGAUGCGUCCACAAGCCAAGGAGGCCGAGGAGGGCCUGUCCACCCCCAGAGGCUCGAAGAGGAGAGGAGAGCUUCUCCCCCGGGAUCCUGGGAGGGAGCACAGCCCUGCCAGGGCCUUGACCUCUGACCUCUGUCCUCCAGAACUAUGAGCGAAUAAAUUUUGGUUGUUUGAAGC